rnacentral:rRNA from 1 species
AUUGAACGCUGGCGGCAGGCCUAACACAUGCAAGUCGAACGGUAACAGGAAGCAGCUUGCUGCUUUGCUGACGAGUGGCGGACGGGUGAGUAAUGUCUGGGAAACUGCCUGAUGGAGGGGGAUAACUACUGGAAACGGUAGCUAAUACCGCAUAACGUCGCAAGACCAAAGAGGGGGACCUUAGGGCCUCUUGCCAUCGGAUGUGCCCAGAUGGGAUUAGCUAGUAGGUGGGGUAACGGCUCACCUAGGCGACGAUCCCUAGCUGGCCUGAGAGGAUGACCAGCCACACUGGAACUGAGACACGGUCCAGACUCCUACGGGAGGCAGCAGUGGGGAAUAUUGCACAAUGGGCGCAAGCCUGAUGCAGCCAUGCCGCGUGUAUGAAGAAGGCCUUCGGGUUGUAAAGUACUUUCGGCGGGGAGGAAGGGAGUAAAGUUAAUACCUUUGCUCAUUGACGUUACCCGCAGAAGAAGCACCGGCUAACUCCGUG